UACGUAGGUGGCAAGCGUUGUCCGGAAUUACUGGGCGUAAAGCGUGCGCAGGCGGUUCGUUGUGUCGGCGGUGAAAGCCCCGGGCUUAACCUGGGAAUGGCCGUUGAAACUGGCGAACUGGAGUGUGGCAGAGGGGGGUGGAAUUCCGCGUGUAGCAGUGAAAUGCGUAGAGAUGCGGAGGAACACCGAUGGCGAAGGCAGCCCCCUGGGCUAACACUGACGCUCAGGCACGAAAGCGUGGGGAGCAAACAGG
rnacentral:rRNA from 1 species